rnacentral:other from 1 species
UGAUAACUGCCUUGUACGUGUCAGUAUGGUUUUUAUAAUCCAACACAUUUUAUAAGGGAACUGGUCUCCAACAGCGGAUUGCAGACCUCCCGACCCGAACCGCCUUUGGCUGAUUCGGGCUACGGACGAAGGGAGCGUGAACCUUUUGGGCUGGUACCCACCUGCCAGAGUGCGGGUUUUAUACACCAUGCGACGGCAAGGCGGUACAUAU